rnacentral:rRNA from 1 species
AACGAACGCUGGCGGCAUGCCUAACACAUGCAAGUCGAACGAGACCUUCGGGUCUAGUGGCGCACGGGUGCGUAACGCGUGGGAACCUUCCCUUAUGUUCGGAAUAACUCCCCGAAAGGGGUGCUAAUACCGGAUAAUGUCUUCGGACCAAAGAUUUAUCGACUUUGGAUGGGCCCGCGUUGCAUUAGCUAGUUGGUAGCGUAAAAGCCUACCAAGGCUACGAUCCAUAGCUGGUCUGAGAGGAUGCUCAGCCACACUGGGACUGAGAAACGGCCCAGAAUCCUACGGGAGGCAGCAGUGGGGAAUAUUGGAAAAUGGGCGAAAGGAUGAUCCAGCAAUGCCGCGUGAGUGAUGAAGGCCUUAGGGUUGUAAAGCUCGUUUACCCGGGAUGAUAAUGACAGUACCGGGAGAAUAAGCACCGGCUAACUCCGUG